GCCCGGCCCUACGCAUACGCCGACUAUGCGGCAGCGUAGAGCGCGGGACUGAUGAGGGCGCGCUGCAGUCAGUAGUCUCCCACUAAUCUCCCAGCAGCCGGUCUCCACGCCUGCCCUACACUGCUGCCGGACCCUGCUGCCUCCUCUCCCGUCACACUGCCCCUACUGCUGUGAGAGAAUGUAGGAUAAGGAGGGACUGUGUGCCAGCAGUUGGGUGAUUGCUGUAUAGUACAGGUAACAAAUGCACAUGAAGAGGAAAGAUAAAGUAAUACUACAAUACCCAUUCUUCUUAAAGUCUAUUGUGUACCGUUCAGUUGGGAAUAUGAACAUUAAACAAUGAAUGGAAGGGAAGUGAGGUGUGUCAAGGGUUUGGGUCUGCACUUACAUGCUGCAAGAGAAUCAGACUACCCUCUCAACCCUCCUCUCCUCUACAUUACAACAUGUUCAACUGUGUGGUGAGGGACAAGAUGUGCUUCUAUCUGUUCACGUAUUUUAUGAUCAGCAGCCACCAGCGCUGGUUUUGCCGAUUACAUUGACCACAAAUAAUUUGAAUUGGUCCUGGACCACCAAUCGAAGACACCCCUGAAAGUGACAGGAGGAACCCAAGGGUGCCUUGGCACACAGUUUGAAAACCACUGCUGUAGGCACUGGGUGAAGUUUGUACUUAUACAGUAUAUGUCUUUAACAUCUUACAAAAAAAUGUACUAACCACCAAAGAUGCCAGCAAGUGAUAUUGUUACAUAGUAUUUUCAGGCAGUGCAUUUUUAUGGGUUGUUGCUCCAAAUACAAUCACAGCAUUAUACAUAAUUAAAACAAGGGAAACAGUGGGGGUCAUUCCGACCCGUUCGAACACAGCAGUGACACCGCCAGCGCUGAAAGUUAUCGCAGCGGCGAUCGCAUGAAGACUGAUAGGCGGGAGCCGUUACGGGGCGUCAACUGACCGUUUUCAAGGCGUGGUGAGGUGAACACAGGCUGAUCCAGGCGUUUGGAGGGUGGAUGUCUGACGUCAUUCCCGGGACCUUCGUCGCUGGAUCCGUUGCACAGGCAGCCUUCAAGAACAACAAGAUAUGUAUCUUAGAAAAGCAGCUGAGGAGACAAGUACAAUUUAGUGAAACCAUUAGGCCUCAAGAAACAAUAAUAUGGUUUCAUGUGAAAGAAACUUAAUAUAGUAAUAGCAUGUUAUAAUACCAAAUGCAUAUUAUAUUUCCACUACAAAAUAUACUACAAAAUAUAC